CUAGUAGAGCUCAUUUGUUCUCCUGUCACUGCCUAGAUCAUCAACCAAGAAAAGUAGCGCUAGCUACCCUAACAAGACCAAGAGCAAGAAUCAUCAAUCAAUGGCAAUAGCUAUAGCUACAAUGGCAAUGCUUAAUGCCAAGUGCUUGAGCAUCAACUCAAGCAAAAACAUCAACCCAAAUAAGCCAUUUACAAAACCCAUUUCCCUUCUCUCCAUGCAAGACCUCCGUAAAGGUCUAACCAUCUCAAAACCAGCAGAGAACACAGCUCUUGUAGGUACUGCCAUAGCAGGAGCUAUCUUUUCUACCUUGAGCUCAUGUGAUCCUGCCUUGGCUGCCCAACAAAUUGCAGAAAUAGCUGCAGAUGGAGACAACCGUGGCUUAGCACUCUUACUUCCCAUAAUACUAGCCAUAGCUUGGGUGCUAUUCAACAUCCUGCAGCCAGCACUUAACCAACUGGACCGUAUGAGGGAGACCAAGGGGGUGAUAAUUGGGCUCGGGCUUGGUGGAUUGGCUGCAUCAGGAUUCAUGUCAGCCCCAGAGGCAUCAGCAAGUGAAAUUGCCAUGAUUGCUGAUGCAACAAAUGACAAUAGGGGUCAGCUUCUGUUGUUUGU
rnacentral:misc_RNA from 1 species